AAUGGGGAGCCCAGGCAGCCARCUCAGUUUAGAUGUCUGGACUAGCUGCCCAGCAAGUGGAGAAGAAGUAUUUGCAUACAGCCUACGAUAAGCACCAUCUCCUGCUGGMUUCCAGGUCUUGAUGGAGUUAUGACUCAUUGGGAGCGAUUUUGCUCCUUAUUUUGGACAGAAACCAAGACCACCAUGUCUCUCAGGUGGACAUACCAAAAUCUCUGCGUUUGCUGGCAAAAAUCGUAGCAGUUCAUCAUUUUGUUUGGAAUAAGUGUCUGUACCUGAGAGAGGAGCUGUGUAUGGACUUUCUGUGCUCUUACCCUUGGGAUCUUGGCCUGCCAGUACCCUCCGUGCACGGGGAAACUGAAAGUGCUAAUGCUGUGCAUUGACAUGGGACAGCUGGCAUCUUGCAAAGUGCACCACUGGAAUAUAGUUUAUCUUCUUGCUUCUCAUUUCCUGUGGCCUGUCUGCCUGUCCUCGUAGUUUCUCUAGCUGUAAAUCCUUGAAGCGUGGAAACACUUACAAAAAUAUGCAUAUAGUGUCUUAAUAGCAUGGUAGCUGAUCUAUGCCAGAUGUUCCUGAAUGCUGCAAUGAAAUAGACAAAUAUUUGAAGUGUGGGGUCACUCUAAUAUAAAUGAGGGCCAAAAUCAGCAUCUGUCUUAACCCUUGGUCUUCAUUUGCUUCACUUUUCA